rnacentral:rRNA from 1 species
GCACAAUGUGCAAUCUUUUCUUGACUGUUAAUAGGUCUUGGAAUAAGGGGCGGGAAAGACCGGUGCCAGCCGCCGCGGUAAUACCGGCGCCUCAAGUGGUCGUCGCUUUUAUUGGGCCUAAAACGUCCGUAGCCUGUUUGGUAAACCCGUGGGUAAAUCAACAUGCUCAACAUGUUGACUUCUGCGGAGACUGCCAGACUAGGGACCGGGAGAGGUGUGGGGUACUCAUGGGGUAGGGGUAAAAUCCUGUCAUCCCAUGAGGACCACCUGUUGCGAAGGCGCCACACUGGAACGGAUCCGACGGUCAGGGACGAAGCCUAGGGGCACGAACCGGAUUAGAUACCCGGGUAGUCCUAGGUGUAAACGCUGUGGACUUGGUGUUGGGGAUCCGACAUGGGUCUCCAGUGCCGCAGCGAAGGUGUUAAGUCCACUGCCUGGGGAGUACGGUCGCAAGGCUGAAACUUAAAGGAAUUGGCGGGGGAGCNCUGCAACGGGAGGAGCGUGCGGUUUAAUUGGAUU